GAUAAAAUGGCUGAUAAUAGGUUAUAAAUUGUAAAUUUAUAUAUAGAUUAAGAAUCUUUUUAUCA
rnacentral:tRNA from 1 species